rnacentral:rRNA from 1 species
GACGAACGCUGGCGGCGUGCUUAACACAUGCAAGUCGAACGGAAAGGCCCUGCUUUUGUGGGGUGCUCGAGUGGCGAACGGGUGAGAAACCCGUGAGUAACCUGCCCUUGACUUUGGGAUAACUUCAGGAAACUGGGGCUAAUACCGGCUAGGAGCUCCUGCUGCAUGGGGGGGGUUGGAAAGUUUCGGCGGUUGGGGAUGGACUCGCGGCUUAUCAGCUUGUUGGGGGGGUAGUGGCUUACCAAGGCUUUGACGGGUAGCCGGCCUGAGAGGGUGACCGGCCACAUUGGGACUGAGAUACGGCCCAGACUCCUACGGGAGGCAGCAGUGGGGAAUAUUGCACAAUGGGCGGAAGCCUGAUGCAGCAACGCCGCGUGCGGGAUGACGGCCUUCGGGUUGUAAACCGCUUUCGCCUGUGACGAAGCGUGAGUGACGGUAAUGGGUAAAGAAGCACCGGCUAACUACGUG